UAUUCUGGUGUCCUAGGCGUAGAGGAACCACACCAAUACAUUCCGAACUUGGUGGUUAAAUUUUAUUGUGGUAACAAUACUAUAAGGGAGGCUUUUUGGUAAAAUAGCUCGAUGUCAGAAU
rnacentral:rRNA from 1 species